rnacentral:lncRNA from 1 species
CCAGAAGGGCAGAACUCAGCUUCUCAUGCAUUUAAGCCUCCCAAACCUUCCAAACACCCCAAAACAAGCCUCCAACUUCACAAACACAUGCAUAAACCCAUAACCAUGCACAAAGGAGCUUAAACAACUAGAUUAAACUCCAAAAACAACAUCAAAAACAUACAUAGAUAGCUUAUGACCCACAUAGGCCAAAACCAUCAAAACAACCCAAAUCCUCACAUACUCUCUUCCCAUCAUGCAUACUCACUCCCACAUGUAUAGACUAGCUUAAACCUUCAACAUAUCAUCACAUAAUCAUAUAUAAACAUACAUUUGCAUAAAAACCCACAUAAAGC